AUUGAACGCUGGCGGCAUGCCUAACACAUGCAAGUCGAACGGCAGCGCGGGCUUCGGCCUGGCGGCGAGUGGCGGACGGGUGAGGAAUACAUAGGAAUCUGCCCAGUCGUGGGGGAUAACCCGGGGAAACCCGGACUAAUACCGCAUACGACGGUGACGUGAAAGCAGGGGACCUUCGGGCCUUGCGCGAUUGGAUGAGCCUAUGUCGGAUUAGCUAGUUGGCGGGGUAAAGGCCCACCAAGGCGACGAUCCGUAGCUGGUCUGAGAGGAUGAUCAGCCACACUGGGACUGAGACACGGCCCAGACUCCUACGGGAGGCAGCAGUGGGGAAUAUUGGACAAUGGGCGCAAGCCUGAUCCAGCAAUGCCGCGU
rnacentral:rRNA from 1 species